rnacentral:lncRNA from 1 species
CACAGGCUCCCAUCUGUCUCCGGGCUCCUACCGGGAAGUCCCCUCCCACUUGCCUUGAGAGCCGCUAAUCCCUCUGGAGUCCUCACAUCUCACUCAGUCCCCAUCCUCUUUUCAUCCUCUUUUCCUCUUUGAGUCCCUACCCAUCCCUGGUACGGGAUCAGCCCUUGUACCUUGAGAAGGGAGUUUGGGUGGAGGACUCGGGGUUGGGAGAGAAGUGACCUCCACUUUGGAAGGAGCUAAUGACAGCCUCCCUUGUUGUUUCCUCCCCUAGCCCCAGUUCUGCCCUGGGCAAUGCGUGCCCACUGCCCAUCUCCCUGGAGAGCCAGCCUGUGCCAGGCAGCUGCAUCUGCCUCCCACCCUGUCAUGAGCUGUCAGCCUUGAUUUUGUCCCACAUUUGCUGUGUGAUCUUGGGAAAGUCAUUGUGCCCCUCCAACCGUCAUCAAGCACCCUUGCACAGACAUGCCUUUGUGUCUUGAGCAUCUAUUCUGUUUCUCCUUGUGCUAGGGGCUGGGGACACACAGAAGAAUGAGCUCGGCAAGAUAGGGCCACAUCUUCCUUUUUAGUUUUUCUUUUUCUUUUUUUUUAAUUUUUAUUUUUUUGAGACAGCGUCUCACUCUGUUGUCCAGGCUGGAGUGCGGUGGCAUGAUCACGGCUCACUGCAGCCUCGAUCUCCCAAGGCUCAGGUGAUCCUCCCACCUCAGUCGCCUGAGGAGCUGGGACUACAGGCACGCACUACCAUGCCUAGCUAAUUUUUUGUAUUUUUAAUAGAGACAGGGUUUUGCCAUGAUGCCCAGGCUGGUCUUGAACUCCUGAGCUCAAGUGAUCCACCUGCCUCGGCCUCCCAAAGUGCUGGGAUUGUAAGCGUGAGCCACCGCGUCUGGCCAAGGCCACAUAUUUCUUGUUCGUGUUGUAUCUGUGAGCCUCCCAUAGUGCUUGGCACUGAGUAGGCAGCCCAGUAAAUAUUUACUGAAGACAGUCUAAUAAUAGUAGCAAACUUAUUAUGCUCACUAUGUGCAAAGUGUUUAAGCGUUUUGUAUGUUCUAUUUACUUACUCAUUUAAGUGUGUGUGUGUGUGUGUAUGUGUGUGUGUGUGAUGGGAGGAACUCUUGCAGCUCAAAACUAAAGGCCCCAAAUGGUGACAGGAGAUGGCAUUGGAGAGGCAGGCAGAAGUGAGACCUUGUGGGGCCUCAUAAGCCAAGGUAAGGAGUUUGAGCUUCAGCCCAAGGGUAGUGGGGAGCCAUGGAAGGGUUAUGAAGAGGGGUGGGAUGUGAUCUGAUUUUCAUUCUGAAAAGACCUCUGGCUGCUGUCAAGAGAACAGCAUGUUGAGCACAAGAGUGACAGCAAGAGAUCAGCAAAGAGAUCAGAGAUGACAGUGUCUUGGCCUGGUGCAGAGAAAUGAAGACAUUCAAGAGAUGUUAGCCUGUAAAAUGAACUACAGGAAUAGCUACAGAUUGGAAACAACCUGUGGUGGUUUUAAAAUAUAGCUACAAAUUCUUUAGCACUCCUCUGUAGAGAGGUGGGAUCCUUGUACCCUCUCUGAAUCUUGGGUGAGCUGAUGACUGCUUCAACCAAUGGAGUACGGUGGAAGUAACACUCUGACUUCUAAGGUCCAGACAUAAAAGUACAGGCAACUUCUGCUAGAACUCUAGCUCUUGGAGCCUGAGGCACCAUGCCUACCUAGGGCUCCAUGUCUGCUUAGAGGCUGCCAUGCUGUCAGGAUGCCAAGACCAUCAGGAGAGGACACAUGAAGGCACCACAGUCCCAGCUAAGCUUAGCUUUGAGUCAUCCCAGUUCAAGCAUAAAAGAAGUGAGUGAAGAAGAACCAGAUGAGGCCAGGCACGGUGGCUCACACCUGUAAUCCCAGCACUUUGGGAGGCCAAGGCGGGUGGAUACCCUGAGUUCAGGAGUUCGAGACCAGCCUGGCCACAUGGCAAAACCCCGUCUCUACUAAAAAUACAAAAAUAGCCGGGCAUGGUGGCGUGCACCUGUAAUCCCAGCUACUAGGGAGGAUGAGGCAGGAGAAUUGCUUGAACCCGGGAGGCAGAGGUUGCAGUGAGCCGACAUCAUGCCAUUGCACUGUAGAAGGCGAAGGGGAAGGGGAAGAACAAGAUGAUUCCAGUGGCCAGCCAUUUGAAUCAGCUUCAGCCUUCAAAUCUUCAAAUCUUCCUAGCUGAAGACUCAAACAUUGCAGAGUAGAAACAAGCUGGCCUCACUGUGUCCUGCCUGAAUUCCUGACACACAGAACCCACAAGCAUAUUCAAGUGGUUAUUGUGUUAUACCACUAGGUUUGGGGGGUUUUGUUCUGUGCUAACAGAUAACUGGGACACCACUUAAAUAUCCAUCAAUGGAAGACGAGUUAUGUACAUUAUAUGUCUUUGUGGAAUACUAUGCAUCCAUUAGAAAGAAGAAAUUAGUCUAUAAUUAUUUAUAUUAAUCACACUUCAAGUGAAGAAGGAUGCAGUGUUCUGAAAAGUCUUGAUAGUAUGCCUCCAUUUGAAAUUCUCAAAAAGAUGGCACAUAUAGAGAACUUCUGGGAAAAUAGACAAGAAAGAGGUAACAGUAGAUGCCUUGGGGGAGGGUAACUGAUGGCAAG